CAGCCGCCGCGGGAAUACAGAGGGUGCAAGCGUUAAUCGGAAUUACUGGGCGUAAAGCGUGCGCAGGCGGUUAUAUAAGACAGAUGUGAAAUCCCCGGGCUCAACCUGGGAACUGCAUUUGUGACUGUAUAGCUAGAGUACGGCAGAGGGGGAUGGAAUUCCGCGUGUAGCAGUGAAAUGCGUAGAUAUGCGGAGGAACACCGAUGGCGAAGGCAAUCCCCUGGGCCUGUACUGACGCUCAUGCACGAAAGCGUGGGGAGCAAACAGGAUUAGAUACCCGCGUAGUCCCUGUCUCUUAUAA
rnacentral:rRNA from 1 species